rnacentral:rRNA from 1 species
AUUGAACGCUGGCGGCAUGCCUUACACAUGCAAGUCGAACGGUAACGGGCCUUCGGGUGCCGACGAGUGGCGAACGGGUGAGUAAUGUAUCGGAACGUGCCUUUCAGCGGGGGAUAACGUAGCGAAAGUUACGCUAAUACCGCAUAUUCUGUGAGCAGGAAAGCAGGGGAUCGCAAGACCUUGCGCUGAUUGAGCGGCCGAUAUCAGAUUAGCUAGUUGGUGAGGUAAAGGCUCACCAAGGCGACGAUCUGUAGCGGGUCUGAGAGGAUGAUCCGCCACACUGGAACUGAGACACGGUCCAGACUCCUACGGGAGGCAGCAGUGGGGAAUUUUGGACAAUGGGGGCAACCCUGAUCCAGCCAUGCCGCGUGAGUGAAGAAGGCCUUCGGGUUGUAAAGCUCUUUCGGCCGGGAAGAAAUCGUAUCAGCUAAUACCUGGUGCGGAUGACGGUACCGGAAUAAGAAGCACCGGCUAACUACGUGCCAGCCGCCGCAGUAAGAC